AGCAAGCUUCGAUACGCGCUUUACGGAAACGCCCCCUCCAUUACUCGACACACGCUUCGAAGCUUCGGCACAUCACGUAACAUCACUAAUAAGAUGCUUCUCGCAUACUUGCUAUUUGUUAGCCUAGCCUUAGCUCAGCUUUAACUGUACACCUAGGCGGCCUGUGCAAACUGCCUGAUCCUCCUCCCAGCCAGAGGCACUACACAUAGAGCUCGUGACGCUGCUGUUUGUCCUUGGCCUGUUGCCCUGUGGUUCCUGGCUGGUGGUCCGCUGUUACUGUGGUUAUCCGUUGUCAGCAGCCCACCUGUCACCCUGGUUGCUGGCUUUCUGCCUGCCGUCGUGGUCAGCGUGAACCUGCCCCUUGUCCAGUGUGGCUGGUUCGGACUGGUGACCAGCUUGGACGGAUUCUGCUGGUGCCACUCUGGGUGGCGUCUGCUGGCCUGGAUCCUUAAUUGAACGAUCGCUGCUUGAUUGGUUGUGGACUGAACGAUAAAUAUGAAAUGACUUAUGUAAUUUGAAUAUCUGUUUUACCUUGACAGGAAAGGCCAAUUCGUGGUGUUGGUGAUGGACUUUCCGGGUGGUGGUACUUUUUUGAUUUGUUGCACAAUUUUCUUUUGUUUUGCUGUUUUGUUUGCUGUGUUUCUUUUUAUUUAGGUCACUACCCUGAACUGCACUGCCAUCCUGUACUUGAGCCAUCACUGUUAUUUAAAUGUGUGAAUGGUUUUAACAUAGUAUAUUUUAUUGAUUAGAAUGAAAUGGUGUAAUAAAAUUAUUGAAUUUGG